GGAUUCCCCUAGUAACGGCGAGUGAAGCGGGAUGAGCUCAAAUUUGAAAUCUGGCGGUCUACGGCCGUCCGAGUUGUAAUCUAUAGAGGUGUUUUCCGUGCCGGACCGUGUACAAGUCCCUUGGAACAGGGCGUCAUAGAGGGUGAGAAUCCCGUCCAUGACACGGACUACCGGUGCUCUGUGAUACACCUUCAAAGAGUCGAGUUGUUUGGGAAUGCAGCUCAAAAUGGGUGGUAAAUUCCAUCUAAAGCUAAAUACAGGCGAGAGACCGAUAGCGAACAAGUACCGUGAGGGAAAGAUGAAAAGAACUUUGGAAAGAGAGUUAAACAGUACGUGAAAUUGUUGAAAGGGAAACGCUUGGAGUCAGUCGCGUUUGCCAGGACUCAGCCUUGCUUCUGCUUGGUGCACUUCCUGGUGAAUGGGCCAGCAUCGAUUUUGGUCGCCGGAAAAGGGCGGGAGGAAUGUGGCAGCUUGCUGUGUUAUAGCCUUCCGUCGUACACGGUGUCUGGGAUCGAGGACUGCAGCACGCCUUUGGUCGGGGUUCGCCCACGCCACGUGCUUAGGAUGCUGGCGUAAUGGCUUUAAACGACCCGUCUUGAAACACGGACCAAGGAGUCUAACAUGCCUGCGAGUGUUUGGGUGUUAAACCCAGGCGCGUAAUGAAAGUGAAAAGUUGGGACUCUUUAGUGAGGCACCGACGCCCGAUCCUGACGUUCUCUGACGGAUUUGAGGCAGAGCAUGUAUGUUGGGACCCGAAAGAUGGUGAACUAUGCCUGAAUAGGGUGAAGCCAGAGGAAACUCUGGUGGAGGCUCGUAGCGAUUCUGACGUGCAAAUCGAUCGUCAAAUUUGGGUAUAGGGGCG
rnacentral:rRNA from 1 species